rnacentral:rRNA from 1 species
GACGAACGCUGGCGGCGUGCCUAAUACAUGCAAGUCGAACGCACUCUCGUUUAGAUUGAAGGAGCUUGCUCCUGAUUGAUAAACAUUUGAGUGAGUGGCGGACGGGUGAGUAACACGUGGGUAACCUGCCCUAAAGUGGGGGAUAACAUUUGGAAACAGAUGCUAAUACCGCAUAAAACCUAACACCGCAUGGUGUAGGGUUGAAAGAUGGUUUCGGCUAUCACUUUAGGAUGGACCCGCGGUGCAUUAGUUAGUUGGUGAGGUAAAGGCUCACCAAGACCGUGAUGCAUAGCCGACCUGAGAGGGUAAUCGGCCACACUGGGACUGAGACACGGCCCAGACUCCUACGGGAGGCAGCAGUAGGGAAUCUUCCACAAUGGACGAAAGUCUGAUGGAGCAACGCCGCGUGAGUGAAGAAGGUUUUCGGAUCGUAAAACUCUGUUGUUGGAGAAGAAUGUAUCUGAUAGUAACUGAUCAGGUAGUGACGGUAUCCAACCAGAAAACGCCACGG